rnacentral:rRNA from 1 species
GCUGCCUUCGCCAUCGGUAUUCCUCCACAUCUCUACGCAUUUCACUGCUACACGUGGAAUUCUACCCCCCUCUGCCAUACUCUAGCCCGCCAGUCACAAAUGCAGUUCCCAGGUUAAGCCCGGGGAUUUCACAUCUGUCUUAGCGAACCGCCUGCGCACGCUUUACGCCCAGUAAUUCCGAUUAACGCUUGCACCCUACGUAUUACCGCGGCUGCUGGCACGUAGUUAGCCGGUGCUUAUUCUUCCGGUACCGUCAUCCUCCCGCCGUAUUAGGACAGAAGUUUUCUUUCCGGACAAAAGUGCUUUACAACCCGAAUGCCUUCUUCACACACGCGGCAUUGCUGGAUCAGGCUCUUCGCCCAUUGUCCAAAAUUCCCCACUGCUGCCUCCCGUAGGAGUCUGGGCCGUGUCUCUGUCCCAGUGUGGCUGGUCGUGCUCUCAGACCAGCUACAGAUCGUCGCCUUGGUAUGGCCUAUACGCCCACCAAACUAGCUAAAUU